CGAUACGAAUCAUAUCUAUCGAUCAUACGUAGCGCGCUCUAUAUAUAUACUAAAAAGUCCAACAAUCGGGCAGCCAUGUUGGACUGGAAUUUUCAAAUUGGUCAGUGACCGCGUUACAGUUGCGUAAUUUUAUAAUGUAAUAUGUGGUUAUUAUUAUGAAAAGUGAGUUUAGAAGCUGAAUAUGAAGCCGAGAUGACAUCAGGGAUGACGGAGACGCGAAACUUUCUCCGGAAACAUCUUCUAUAUCUUCAGUAUUGGGACCAAUUCCUAGGAUUUUCGUAAUAUGGUUGCCAUAUUGAAUGACGUCACGAAACAACCAAUAAUAAAAUAUCUAAUAGCAAAUACUUGGAACAUACUUCCUCAAAUUGUUUAUGGAAUUUUUUAAGGUUAGACUUCAGACAUUAGAAACAAACAGAAUCAUAUAAUCUUUUUAUGAGUUACGGGAUCAGGAGUAAAAGGAAUAUACAGAGUACGGUCGUUAUUAAUCGUAGAGAUGAAUUCGAAACGGUGCAACACGGCAGCGCGUAGCGAGUCGAAACACACACCGGACCGAGCGAAAGUGGUCACAUAAAUGUCGAGAACAGAGAACGCUGCCUAACGAAUGUGGAGAGAUCGGUGAACCGGAAGCGAAAGGCGCGCAGCUUCACGAUUCGUUUGGUU